ensembl:lncRNA
AUAAAAUAUAAACGUAUGCUGCCUUUUCACUGCUUCCAACAAAGCUUUCUAGACAGGAACGUGACUGUUAUGCAUUUACUUCAUAAUCAAUCAUAUUUUUAACAUAGACGCUAGCUAGCUCAUGUUACACAAUUAGCAAUGCGGCAAUACCGCGACUAGCUAGACACAAACAACAUUCAAGUUGUCAUCAAGAAAUCGUAUGUUCGUCAAAACUAUUUACAUGAAGAGAAUUAAACAAUUUUAUCAUUUCACGUUUUUAUUUAGGUUACAGAAUUUAAUAAGCUUGUGCCAUGUUCAUCUCUAGCUACUGAAAUUUAAAAGCAAUACGGAAGUCGCUAGGAGGCGAAUUCAGACCGUCGUAUCCAGACGUCGCGUGCAGUGAAAAGGCGGAAUUACGGAUAUUAUAGGGGAAUGAGAGGAAACAAUAUGGUUACUACAAUAAUAAUAAUAAUAAUAAUAAUCAUAAUCAUAAUCAUAAUAAUAAUGGAAGAAAAUAUAUGAACUGGACUGCUCCAGUAGGGGGCGCUGAAGUAUCAUUUUAACGUUAAAAUAAAAAUGCCUGCAACAGUAGUAUGACGUGGGUUAGGGUUAACCCUAAGACAGAAUUUUGUAGCGUGUCUUGUCUGGAAAAUACAGUGGUAUGAAGUAUUAUAAUAAUAAUAAUAAUAAUAAUAAUAAUAAUAAUAUAAAUUCUGACUCAAGCUGACCAGCUGAGACACUGCUUUCUUUUUUGUUGUUUAUUUUAAAAGCAGGUAAAUAGCACUUACAGAUCUUACACCUCCACAAAUGAGCAAAGUUAGUACACCCUCUCACCCUUAGGCUAGGUGAUAUUCAAGUUCAUGCUUGCGUGCGCUUUCUCACACACACAUUCAAACACACCAGCUUUCUCCGGGUCUUUCCCCUCACACUGCUGUUCUCUCAGCUCAAUAGAUCCCCCCCCCUCCGCUACGGCUCACUAUCGUUUAACGCGCUCUGCCUCCGAGUGUGUAUUUGAAGCACAUACUGUAUAUUACAGACUACAAGUCACACUUUGGUCUGACACGACGUGAAAUGGAACUGACGCACAGGCCGAAGGGAGAUGUGCUGUAUUAGCCCGAUGAUCAGCUGCUUAUUUUUAAAUAAAAAUGGAGCCAUGUUGUAUUUCCAAACGUAUUAUUUAUUCACAACAGAAGAUGGCGCUACAGUAAGGCUAAAGAGCCAAAUUGGGCCUGCUUACUGCUCGUAGGUUAAAUGUGUUACAGAAUGUGAGUCUUUAAUUCAGGCUUAUUGCUGCCCGAAGACUUGUAUUUUAAUACAAAUAAAAAUUUAAUUAUAAGCUAACCUUUUAUGUGAGGAUGAUGAUACGGUAAAUCGGUCCGUACAGGAUUUUGUUGUUUUUUUUGCGAUUAUUGCGGCCAGAAAUGCUUGAUUAUCGCUGCGGCUUUUUCCAAAAUUUGCGAUGAAUCUUACUGAGUUUUUUGUGCUUGUUUUGCGGAAAACUACUCGAAUUGGCGAAAUCGCAAUCGCGCAGAAUCGUUCUGCAUGGUCCUUCGCAGUGAUUGUUGGUAAACGAGACCUUUCAGCUGUACUCAUGUUCGACGCACGUGACUCGUCGAGGGCUUCGGCUGAACGCGCGUCGUGAUGCAGUCACUUCUCGCGUCUCGGCUCAAACCCGAGGAAAACCUGCAGUAAUUUUGAUCUAUUGCGAGCUCCGAAUAUUGCGGCGUUUGCUCGCGCGUUCAUUUCGGUGAUUGCAAAAUCGCAAAAUCCUGGAAGGACUAUGAGUGACUUGGCAUUGUCAACAUUGGCCGUGUGAGAAAAUCCACGUUACUGAAAUAAACGUGAAUUUGAAGUUCAGAUUGGACUACGAAAACAUUUACACACAGUUUUAUUAAAUGAGGCCCAUUGUGUGUGGUCACUUGUUCGGUAUGUUAUAUAGCCAUAUCUUGGGCUGAACUCGUUACAUAAAUCUAGUACAGAACGACUGUUUUCAUCGUCCCGGCCGUCGACACUUGCUUCACGUGUCGUGUUUUUCCUGCACUGCUGGAAUAGCAGUCGUCUCAACCUAGAGUUACUGGUUUCUUCAUGGUUUUCUAAAGAAAAAAAAUCUGGUUAUAAAAAAACAGUUCUCUGGGUGUUUACGACAGUGUCAUAAUGGGACUGUGCAAUAGAUACGAUGUACAUUCACUCUAGCACGCGUCAGUUAACGGAAUAAUUUGGUCUAAAGUUUAACAUACAUAUAUUGUAAGUGCUAUUGCACAGAUUCACUGUAAGGUGAAGGAAAAUGAUGGCAAAGUGUGAUUUAUAAAAUGAUGUAUUUAACGGUUUUUAGAUUGUGCACACAAACUGCUGCAUGGCUCCCGUCUUGCUAGUUCACACACACACACACACACACACACACACACACACACACACACACACACACACACACACACACACACACACACACACACACACACUCUCUCUCACUCUCUCAGGGAGUUAGCUGGGCUUUCGGUCCCGUACCGUCUUCUUUGGACACAUUUAACCCUGCAGAAGUCCUCGAACCUCCAUCACUGUGUGUUAGUGACUGCUUUCCUGAAUGUUAAGAUUUCCCACAGAAGUGUCACUUUAAAAAAAAAAAAAAUUAAAUAGGAUCUUGUAUAGUUGUAAAAUGAUAUAUAAAAAUAUAAAGAUGUAAUUCUAGUUUUUGAAUCUUGUUUGAUUUUCUGUCUUUUUUUUCCUGCAGUGCUCCACUUUCCUCACCCUUUUAGUGUUGUCCUCGUCCAUACGAAAUGUAAUUACGUUUUUUAAAGAAUGUUUUUAAGACAGAAAACCUGACUCGUGAUCCUUCUGUUCUCUUUAUUUCUGGAUUGUUUAUUGUUUAAAAAAAAAAAUUACAUAGACUUUUAAUAGCUAUAAUUUAUUAUAUGGAUUUUAUUAUUAUUAUUAUUAUUAUUAUUAUUAUUAUUAAGCAUUAAAAAAUACAAACAUGAUGUAGAGUUGUAUUUUGGGGAUACAAUAUGUGGAUUAAAAGUGGAAUAAAUGGGCUUUUUACAUAGCAUAGUGGUGUGUUUUUUUCCCCCUGAUUAUUUUAUGCUGAUUUUCACAACUGUAGAACACUAUAUUUAGAAAAUCAAAUAAAAAAUAUUUCCGAG